UUAUUAGGUCACCGACAUUGCAUAAAAGUUUGUGUUUGAGCUUUAUUUAAAGCACUAGUUAUGGACAAGCAUUUUUAAAGAGUGAUGCAACUCAAGAAUUGGGAGUUGUUGAGAGGAUGGGGAGUUGGAGAAGAAGAGUAUGAGGUCUUAUUUUUACUCCUUAAUCCCCACCCUUCAGGCUACGAUUGGCAAAGAUGAGGGAGGCUGAAGCGGCCCAGGGCCAGACAGGUAAAGUAACUUCGUAUUUUCCCCGACCCCAUGUCCAUACCGGAAUGCUGGUCCUUGCAUACCUAUCUCCUUAGUACCCAACUGCAUUAAUAUCAUUGUUUGUUCAACAAACAUGUUUUGGGCACAGAGAACGUGCCUGACCUUUGGAACAAAGGAAAAGGCGCCGGUUCUGUGCUUAGGAUGCACCCACACGUAAAGUGCUUACCCUGCCAGAACCACCUGUGUAGCCCAGCCUCCCAGCCUCCCAGCCCCCCAGCCCUUCCUCUCUCUUCCUCAGGAGACGAGACGUAUCUCGACAUAUUCCGAGACUUCUCCCUCAUGGCGUCGGACGACCCAGAGAAACUGAGCCGUCGAAGUCACGACCUCCAUACGCUUUGAUCCCGUCCCUCCCCACCCUGCUGUGGCACAUUCUCCAUUAAAGUCUCUCGGCUUUGCUU
rnacentral:lncRNA from 1 species